rnacentral:lncRNA from 13 species
UUGUCUGACUGACACCCAAGAUUGCCUUGUAAAUUCCCUCUGAAUAAAUAUUUGACUACUUACCAACCUUGAAGGGUCUGCCUCUUUCUUUGGCCUGAGCUUAUGAAGAGCAGUUCUUGGUUCUGACAAAGUGUUUUCCCAAUACAAAGGGUUUAGACCCUCUAAGGAUGCAUAACUAGCCAAGGCAGAAAACCAGUCUCUUUGCCACAUAAGAUUUUAAUUCCAACAUUACUCCACAAUUAAUUGAUAAUAUACUAUAUCAUCUUUAUUUUUACUAUUGUUAGUUAAAAAUGUGGGUUUUUUGUUUGUUUGUUUCUUUCAAGUCAAGAAUCUACUAUAGCUGUUUAUGGUCUAUCAUAUUAGAUCUAAAUUCCAGUUGUUAUUUAAAUUUUUCAAUCUAGUAUCACCUAAUAUGAAUUAUCUCUCCAAUUAAUUUGGUUUCAGGUUAUUUUUCACUGAAGCCAGGGAGUACAAAUUAGGUCUGAAACCUGUAAGUUUUAAAACAGGGUCUGCCUUGGGAAAUCUAGGGCAUCAGGUUCUUAGAUGAUAGGACAAUGCAAGCCAGGCAGUAGUGUCUUAGCUAAGCACCCUCUGAGCCAGUGAGCAGUUGGCUCUAUUUAAAUCAGUUAAAAAUAGACUAACCAGCAGUUAAAAUUUUCAGCACAGCAAAAAGCAGUGAGGACAAGGUUUAUUCUUUGAUCUCUAAAGGUUUGCUUCAUUGAGCCUGAUAAUGGUGCAUGACGUGAAGAAUGUUAGCUAUACUGUGGUCUCACAUUACCUUGGUUUUACUUAGUCAUCAGUGUAAUUUAUCUAAGGGCAACUUGCCGCUAAAAAAAGAGCUCAGCUUGAAGGCUUCUAGCUUACACAGCAGGAGUUUCUGGAAAUUUUACUGCUGGUGGUGGUGGAUAGAAGGCAGAGAUAUGGCCAGUAUCAAACGAGAUUAUGUCCUGGGAAUUCAGAGAUUACAGUCUGAAGAAUUCAAGAAAUAAGGCAUUUUCAAAACCUCAGAUCUUCUCUUUGAUUAAGAUUGUCUCCUAUGGAAACACCUGAAUGCAAGGCAGAACCUAUGAAAGACAUCGGUAUGUAGAUGUCUUAUUCCAGGUUUUAAACUAGAAUAAAAGGUCAUUUUGAGUUUAUUUACA